UACGGAAGGUCCGGGCGUUAUCCGGAUUUAUUGGGUUUAAAGGGAGCGUAGGUGGAUUGUUAAGUCAGUUGUGAAAGUUUGCGGCUCAACCGUAAAAUUGCAGUUGAUACUGGCAUCCUUGAGUACAGUAGAGGUAGGCGGAAUUCCUGGUGUAGCGGUGAAAUGCGUAGAUAUCAGGAGGAACACCAGUGGCGAAGGCGGCCUGCUGGACGAUGACUGACGUUGAGGCUCGAAAGCGUGGGUAUCGAACAGG
rnacentral:rRNA from 1 species